rnacentral:rRNA from 1 species
GACGAACGCUGGCGGCGUGCUUAACACAUGCAAGUCGAGCGGUAAGGCCCUUUCGGGGGUACACGAGCGGCGAACGGGUGAGUAACACGUGGGUGACCUGCCUCUAGCUCUGGGAUAAGCCUGGGAAGCUGGGUCUAAUACCGGAUAUGACCUCGCGGUGCAUGUUGCGGGGUGGAAAGCCUUGUGCGGCUAGGGAUGGGCCCGCGGCCUAUCAGCUUGUUGGUGGGGUGAUGGCCUACCAAGGCGACGACGGGUAGCCGGCCUGAGAGGGCGACCGGCCACACUGGGACUGAGACACGGCCCAGACUCCUACGGGAGGCAGCAGUGGGGAAUCUUGCGCAAUGGGCGAAAGCCUGACGCAGCGACGCCGCGUGAGGGAUGACGGCC